CGGUCUAUAGACAAUGAAUUCUGUCA
rnacentral:piRNA from 1 species